CAGCAGCCGCGGGAAUACGAAGGGGGCUAGCGUUGCUCGGAAUUACUGGGCGUAAAGGGCGCGUAGGCGGACAUUUAAGUCAGAGGUGAAAGCCCAGGGCUCAACCUUGGAAUUGCCUUUGAUACUGGAUGUCUUGAGUUCGGGAGAGGUGAGUGGAAUGCCGAGUGUAGAGGUGAAAUUCGUAGAUAUUCGGCGGAACACCAGUGGCGAAGGCGACUCACUGGCCCGAUACUGACGCUGAGGCGCGAAAGCGUGGGGAGCAAACAGGAUUAGAUACCCCGGUAGUCCCUGUCUCUUAUAC
rnacentral:rRNA from 1 species